ACGACCCCUAUAAAAAAUUGAUGCAUAAUAUUAGACUUGCAGAAAUUGACUCUAAAUGAAAACUACUAAUCGCCUGUCAAAUUUCUAGUUUGAUAAAAUUCCAUUCGUUGAAUAAAAUCUCCUAAAACAAAAUAACACUAGCGUGAUGCGUGGCAUUGUGGUUUUAAAUUGGUAAGGCUCCGUUCGCCCGAAAUGAUUAAAAAUUUUAUCGCUGCCCUCAAAAAAAAAAAAAUUAACAACUGAUAGACGCGGUAGGUAGGUAUCAGCAAGGAGUAGCGUGAUAAAAGGUUCAGAUUUUCAAUCCCCCCUCCCCCGCAAGGGCUCAAAAAUUUCGGUGUUUUAUAACAUGCUCUUUGCAAAAAGUUCAAUUUCGUUGAAAUUCGAGUCCAAGAUUUAGAUUUUUUAACAAAAAAACUGGCUAAAAAUUUCAGAAACUCGAUAGUGAAAGGAUUGUCCGCAUACUUUCCGGCUUCUGUUGAAAUGGAAAUAAUGUCCGUCAUAUUGUUCGAAUUUCUUGGAGCAGGCGGAUAUUGUGAAUAUACAGAUGGUGAAUUGUUCCAGAAACACAAUCCAGCUAUUAUCAACAGUUUCACUUUCUUCAAAUAAAAUGUCAUUUUUCUAUCCUACCCAACAAGAACAA